GGGGGUGUAGCUCAAGGGUAGAGUAAUCGGCUCAUAACCGAUAGGUUGAGGGUUCAAAUCCCUCCGUCCCCA
rnacentral:tRNA from 1 species